AACGAACGCUGGCGGCAGGCCUAACACAUGCAAGUCGAACGCCGUAGCAAUACGGAGUGGCAGACGGGUGAGUAACGCGUGGGAACAUACCCUUCGGUUCGGAAUAACUCAGGGAAACUUGUGCUAAUACCGGAUACGUCCGAGGUAAAACUUGGAGAAAGAUUUAUCGCCGGAGGAUUGGCCCGCGUCUGAUUAGCUUGUUGGUGAGGUAAUGGCUCACCAAGGCGACGAUCAGUAGCUGGUCUGAGAGGAUGAUCA
rnacentral:rRNA from 1 species